rnacentral:rRNA from 1 species
UACGUAGGAUCCAAGCGUUGUCCGGAUUUACUGGGCGUAAGGGGUGCGCAGGCGGACUUGUAAGUCAGGGGUGAAAUCUCACAGCUCAACUGUGAAACUGCCUUUGAUACUGCAAGUCUUGGAUCCAGAAGAGAGUUGUGGAAUUCCGAGUGUAGCAGUGAAAUGUGUAGAUAUUCGGAAGAACACCAGUGGCGAAGGCAGCAACUUGGUCUGGUAUCGACGCUCAGGCACGAAAGCAUGGGGAUCAAACAGG